UACGUAGGGGGCAAGCGUUGUCCGGAAUCAUUGGGCGUAAAGAGCGUGUAGGCGGCUAUUUAAGUCCUGCGUGAAAUCCUGCGGCUCAACCGCAGACGGUCGUGGGAAACUGGAUGGCUAGAGUGCGGGAGAGGAGAGUGGAAUUCCCGGUGUAGCGGUGAAACGCGCAGAUAUCGGGAAGAACACCCGUGGCGAAGGCGGCUCUCUGGAACGCAACUGACGCUGAGACGCGAAAGCGUGGGGAGCAAACAGG
rnacentral:rRNA from 1 species